rnacentral:SRP_RNA from 1 species
GCCGGGUGCGGUGGCAUGUGCCUGUAGUCCCAGCUACUCGGGAGGCUGAGGUGGGACGAUCGCUUGAGCCCAGGAGUUCUGGGCUGUAGUGCGCUAUGCCGAUCGGGUGUCCACACUAAGUUUGGCAUCAAUAUGGUGACCUCCAGGGAGCGGGGGACCACCAGGUUGCCUAAGGAGGGGUGAACCGGCCUAGGUCAGAAACGGAGCUCAUCAAAACUCCCGUGCUGAUCAGUAGUGGGAUCGCGCCUGUGAAUAGUCACUGCACUCCAGCCUGGGUAACAAAGUGAGACCCCGUCUCU